UACGUAGGGUGCGAGCGUUAAUCGGAAUUACUGGGCGUAAAGCGUGCGCAGGCGGUGAUGUAAGACAGAUGUGAAAUCCCCGGGCUCAACCUGGGACCUGCAUUUGUGACUGCAUCGCUAGAGUACGGCAGAGGGGGAUGGAAUUCCGCGUGUAGCAGUGAAAUGCGUAGAUAUGCGGAGGAACACCGAUGGCGAAGGCAAUCCCCUGGGCCUGUACUGACGCUCAUGCACGAAAGCGUGGGGAGCAAACAGG
rnacentral:rRNA from 1 species